GUCUCUCUGUGUAUUCAUUUGGGCCUAACUUGGGCAGGUGGCUGGUGUAAAGCUUACACAUGGCAGUGGGGCUCAGCAGCUUUUGGCAGAAAGAUUUAUUGUAACAUUUAUCAUAACAGGAGACAGGUUGCAAGAAACCCUGUCUCAAACAAAGGACGGAAGGCAUCUGAGAAAUGGCACCCAGGGCUUUCCUCUAACCAUUACAUGUGUUCAAACACAUAUGGAUACGGACAGACCACACUUUUAGACUCUUCACACAAACAUAUGCAAAAGAAAUUGUGCAUGAGUCAUGUAUCGAGAAGUACAGAAAAGGAUAAGCAACAAGUUCAAACAUUUUAUGAUUAUCAUCUGUCUAUCAUCUAUUUCUCUUUCUCUUUAUGUAUCUAUCUAUCAUCAUCUAUCUAUCUAUCUAUCUAUCUAUCUAUCUACCUAUCUAUCUAUCAUCUAUCCUUUUUCUUUCUCUUUACUUUCCUCUAUCUCUCUUUCACUUUCUCUCUUGUGGAAGUAUGGUAUAUAUAAUUUUAACUGCUUUUUUUAAUACUGUUUAGAUAUGUGUGCAUGCAGGCGUGUUUUUACUUAUUAAAGAUGACAUUUAUAUUCCUUUACUUUCCUUAAGACUUUAGUAGCUAUGAGACACCAUCCUACCAAGAGAAUAAAAGAAAAGUAUUAAAUCAUAUUAUUCCAAUUUUGCAGCAAAAUGGUGAUAAACUGUGGAAUAUUUGGCAUUGAAAGAGUUCACAUAGAUAAAAUAAAUGCCAUUUCAGCGACACUUCUUCUACUCCAUGAACAAAAAUGAAAUGAUAGGAUUCUUCUGCUCCCAGUGUAUUGAAGGUGGCAGUAUCAUUAUUAACUAAGGCCAAACCCUGUCAGAUUGGAGCAUGUAUUAGUUUGCUAUUUGCUGCUAUAGCACGGUGCACAAUAUUUGACUUAGAGCAACAUAUUUAUUAUUUUAUAGUCUGUAUGACAGAUAGCUGACAGUACCAUCACUGGGUUAAAAUCAAGAUAUUUCUAGUACUGCAUAGAUUUCCCCCAGGAGAGGAGUCAUUUUCUUUCCCUCUCUGUUUUUAAACCUUCUCUUGCCCCUUUUCUAAUUCCUGUACUUGUCCACUUUCCAAGCUUAAAAGUUAGACAUCCCUCAGUCCACACCCUUGCCUCUUGCUUCUUUUGUUGACACAUUUUUAAAAUUUUUUAUUUAAAUUAGAAACAAGCUUACUUGUCAAUCUCAGUUCCCUCUCCCUCCCCUCCUCCCCUUCCCCCCAAUCCUUGUCCCAACCUCUCUUAUAUAUCAUGAAUAGUGAUAUGCUAUCACAAGCCAACAGAAAGAAAGAGAAAGGCUCUAUUUAUAUUUUCCAGCUAAAGCUUUUAUUCCUUCUGUACAUUUCUCCAUCUGUUAAGAAAAUGACACUGGUCAUAGGUAAUUGCUAUAUGAGUGUUUAAAUAUAUAUCCAAAUGCCCUGAGACACUUAACAAAAGAUUUGCAGUCUGCUAAGGACAUGUCAGGACUGUAUGGCAAAAAAAAAAUUGUGUUGUUUUAUUCCUAGCAAAUGAAAUUAAAGUACUUUAGUAAUGUUUGGGUUUUCCAACCACUAAUGAAUUCCAGACUUUGCAUAUCUAUAGAACUUUCUGUUUAUUAAUUAAUCUUUUUUUCUAACAUUUUUCCCUUGUUGGGAGUAUAUACAUACAGACACAUACAGAAAAUUACAUAUGUGUAUUAAAGUAUUUUAGUCAGGUAUAUAUAACAAUACUAAUGUAUUCAAAAAUGGAUCACUUCUAGGAAGAUUGUUAUGUUUAUCUAGUAUUCGCAGUGUGUUUUAAUGGGUCAUGAAUAAUAGCCUUCAUUUUACAUGAGAUCUUUGAAAAUUGUCCUGCGGACAUUUCAAGUUCAAUUAGUUAAACGAUUGAUUGACAUUAUGUGAAAGACAUUUGGCAAAUAGUUUCUAAAAUUUCAUUAAAUUAAUUUUAUUAUUCAGUAUGGUAUUACUUUUAUGCCUAUGUCACAAAAGAAAUAGAAAGAUUUAGCAAAAUAAAAUUGUUAACUCAAAACAAUGUGCUUUUUAAUUGUACAACCAGAAUAUAAGUCUAUAUAGUUUGACUUUAAGGUUUAUAGUCAUAAGCAUCAGGUUUUAGGGCUUGAUAAGUUGAAGAAUCAAUAUUUAGAUAAAAAAGACUAUGUGUUCUCACUUUUAAAUCUAGUUUGUGCUGUUUGAACAAGCUACUUUUUGUUAGUAUUUAAUCAUCACACUUCAUUUUUUCAUGGUUUUAGUUUUUACAAGUCUCUUGUCACUACUAUCACAUGUGAAACAUGGUUAUGUUCUAGAGAAGAGAUGCAUGCAUGCGCCUUACUAUGAGACCAUCUUUUUAUUGUCUUAAUGUAGUUUUAAUCUAUGUUUUCUUGAUAAUUAAGGGUGUUGAACACAUUAUAAAAUGCUCAGUAGCAAUGUGGAUUUCUUCUUGAGAUCUCCAAAGGACUUAACUACAAACCACUGAGAAUGAACACCAAGGGAUCAACAUAUUGAACCAAUUGUGACAGCAUAUAUGCCCAAUGUGAAGAUAGAAAGUGGUACUACAUUCCUCUUAUACAGUGGAUAGUUUUCUGUCAACUUGACACAAGCUCAAAUCAUCAAUUAGGAAGAUGCCUCUACUGGCCUAUAGACAAACCAUAGGGCAUUUCCUUGAUUAAUGAUUUAGACAGAGGGUCCGUCUCACUUUGGGGGGUACCAUAAGCUGUGAAGAGCAAGCCAACAAGCAGCAUUCCUCAAUGGCCUCUGCUUCAGUUUCUGCAUCCAGGUUUCUACCUUCAGCUUUGAACCCAGCAUUAUUUCAAGAUAGAACAUAUGCUAUAAGCUAACGAGAAAAGUAAAAUUCAAGAUUGAUGGAGUUUUAAAUGAAAGGGAACUCUUUCUCGUAGCUUCACCUCUGCUUAUAUCACUUUCCAAAUAGAGGCCAGGGUCUGUGUACACAUCCAUGGCUCCUGUUGCUGUUGAGUGUCAUGCUGACUCCAGAGACCAGAACUGCCUCCUGGGGCCGAGUUCAGGUUCAUGAGCCAUGCUGCCACUGGGGCCAUAUCGGUCUUGGAGGCUCUUGCUGUCAACUGGGGCCAUGGUACCAUCCAGGCCUUGGCUGCUGCAGCAGAAGGCCAUGUCUAUGCCUGUGGUUGUCCUACUGCAGCUGAUGUCAUUAUUGAUACCAGUGUUCCCAUGGCACCAGCGGGCCACAUGAAGCCUUGAGUCUGGGCCACAUCCUGUGGCUUUGGUGUAAAGAGACCAUGCUGCCUUCAGAGCCAUCCUGGUCUCAAUGCCCAUAGCUACCACUCAGAACAAGGACGUUGACCAGGCCAAGCUGCUGCCUGAGGACAUGUCUCAGUCCAUGGAACAGCUACAGCUGUGGUGUGCAUUGAACUCUGUUGCACAGGUUACCACUAGGGCCCAUACAGAGACCCUGGGAUCUGUACUAGAGCCUGUGGCUUGCCUGGAUUCAGGGGAGCCACACAACAGCAGGAGCCAUACAGACAUGGGUGGCCUGUACUACCACCUGGGACCAGAGUGCCAUCCCGGAUGCCUCUGAGGGCCAUGUCUGGGUCCAUGGCCCUGUAGCAGCCAGGGUCGAGAUUGACAUACAUGGCUCCUCCGGUUGACACCAAGAGCCACGAAGAAGCCUGGGAUCAGACCACCACCUGAGUCUGGAUUGGUGACAGAGGACCAGGAAGCAACCAUAUCUGGGUGACCUGUGCUGCUAUUCAAUGAUAAAGCUUGGAUUCUUAUUCUAGAAGGCAGGCAUGUUUAAAGUGGAGAUCUGUAAAUAGUUCUCAAUGUGUUGAUCUGCUGAAGAAUAGCAAGACAGGACUACAAUUAGCUUUGGCCAUAAAUUUAGUAGCAUCAUAUUUAAAUUUCUAAAAAUAUUUUAUGUGCAUGCGUGUUUUUGCCUUCAUGUAUGUAUAUGAAUCACAUGUAUGUCUCUAACCCCAGGAGGUCCAGGAUUGGUCACUGGAUCCUCUGGGGUUGGAGUUUGAGAUGGUUGUGAACCACUAUAUGAGUGAAAACAGAUCCCAGGCUCUUUGUAAAAAAUGAAAGUUGCACCUAAGAAAGAGCCACCUCUCCAGUCCCUACAAUUAGCAUUUAAGCUUUGUUUCUGGCAGUGAUUUUGUUCUAUACAGACAUGUAUUGCUUAACAAGAGAACACAUUUUGAGAAAUACAGGAGACAUAUAUAAUUGUAAGAUCACAAAAAACACACUGUCGAGGUACUGACAUUUUAAAAUGUGGGUAGAUUUGAUCUAAACACAUUGUAUUCUUGUAUGAAAUUAUCAAAGAAUAAGCAAAUCUAAAAGUGGAUUUUCAUAGAUUUCCUAGAAAUACCAAUAAGAGGCAGGGUAACCUCAAAAUUUAUUAUAAAAUUUCAAUUUUUACAGAUAUUAUUUAAUGUGUCUAGUUUGCAUGGAAACAUUACAUCUGUGAGUUAUUUCUUUGAAUUUACAAGACACAUCAUGGGGAAGCCAGCUCUUGUUUUCCAAAUUCAUCAGGAAAUUAGAUGGUAUGUUAUUUAAGAAUCCCAAUCUUAUCAUUACUGCAAUGAAUAGCUAAAUAAAGAGCAGCAGAGGAAGGAGUGAGCAGACAUGUGAAAUUUUACAAACCAACUUGUGGAAAACCAGAAGCAUCAUCUCCUUGUCUUUGAUUUUCAUGAAAGUGACACCCAGAACACCUGGUCCUGAUCAUCUCACAGUGACACCCAGGAUGACCUGUACCUGAUCAUCUCUCACAGUGACACCCAGAACACCUGGUCCUGAUCAUCUCACAGUGACACCCAGGAUGACCUGUACCUGAUCAUCUCUCACAGUGACACCCAGAACACCUGGUCCUGAUCAUCUCUCACAGUGACACCCAGAAAACCUGGUCCUGAUCAUCUCACACAAUAACACCAGGAUGACCUGUACCUGAUCAUCUCACACAGUGACACCCAGAACCACCUGAUACUGCAUAUCUUUCACAGUGACACCCAGAACUACCUUAUGCAGAUCAUCUUACACAUUGACACCAAGAACAACCUGAUCUGAUCAUCUCACAGUGACACCCAGACCCAUCUGAUCCUGAUCAUCUCACAGGGACGCCCAGAACCCCCUGCAUCUGAUGACCUCUGUCACUACCCUUGCAUAUCACUUCUGACCUGAAGACAUGUUUAAAAUUCUUAGUUAUGUUUGUGCCAAUUCAGUUCCAGAUGAAUCUCAUGGUGAAUUCUGCAGAGGCAGUAGAACUAAUGUUGGUAGAAGAUGUAUUAGUGGUAAGAACCUUUCCCGGACAUGCAUGCAGAGGCGUGUGAUCCUACAGAGAUACUCAAAGGAGGCUUCGUGGAAAGAGAUCAAAUGUGAGUGCUGGGGGAACUGAUGUGUGUGCUGAUAGUGUAAUUCUAGUACAGGUGUGAGAGGUAGAAAAAUCACAUCUCCCUCAUACUGGGAAUGUUCCUUUUGAAAUGUCAUUUGAAUAACAGAGAUGUCUCUUAAGAGAAGUAAUUCCUAAUUACCCAUGGACAGCUGUUGAUAGCCAACCUUAAAAUGCCUACUUUGUAAGAAUCUCUCCUUCAUUGUAUCCCACAAAGACAUUUCAUCAAUUGAUACAGUUUGAAGACAAUUUCUUUUUUAGAUGAAAAGUCAUCAUAAUUUGAUGUUCUUUGAGCAACCUCUACAAUCUUCUCCUAUUAAGUAGAAUGACUGUUUUCUUUUGCUUUUUGAGUUUUGGUUACAUACUAAAUAAUAAUUUACUCUAGGCAGUCAAGAAGUUAAACCUGAGUUUAAUUGAUGAAAAAUAAAUGCUGGCACAUUGAGUCAUGUUAUCAAACAGCAAAAAUCUGCAUGGAUUGGUCCUUAUUUUCUUUCCCUUUCACCCCAGCCUGCUGGAAUCUUCUCUGGCAAGCAACUCUGCAGAUGGCCAAUGGGUAGUUCACACUCUCCUCCUGCCAGAGUUUCUUCUGAGGAUGCUGCAGGGAUGCUCAGCAUAUCUACAUAGGUGAAACACACACGAACAAUUAAGUCUGAGAUGAAGCAUUUUGAAGUCUAGCAUCUCCUAAAAUCAGAAAUGGCACGCCUCUACACUCCCUUAUUUUUAGCUACUAGUUUUCUGAGGGUGGUAAUAAUGAAGUGUUUUUGGUGGGGCAUCGAGUUCACGGGGGAGGUAAGGAUGGCAUUUCUUUGAUGAGCAACAAAGAAGAAAUGGAGUCUGGACAUAGCCAAAGAUGCUGCAUUUCCAUUCAUCUUCCAGGGGUUGACCACAAUGAGCUGGAUGAGAUUCAUGGGUCUGAAACAAAAGCAGAAGACAAGGUGAAGACAUCUCCCAGUUUUUUUAGUUUAGUUUUAUGUGUUUGUUUUUCACUUAAUUUUGAUAGAAUAACAUUUUACUUCAAACACGUUUUUUUCCAACAUAUAAUUUUGUACCACAAACAUGUAUUUUCCCAUAUGUUUUAAGAAGAAUUGCUGAAAAAGAAUUUAAUCAUUAAGUUUAGGCAUCAUUUUCUGUUAUGCUGUCUAUUACACCAGACUUAAGAGAUGUUAGCAUAUUGCCCAGAGAAAGCAUAGAUUUAAGGUCAAAUAGUUUGGAGAAGUGUUGACUGGUCUUUUGUUCUCUUGGAGUUUACUAAUACUUAAGUGGACUCAAUAAUCCAAAAAAAGGAAGUUGGUGUAACACAGCCUUGAAGAAAAUGUACUUGAUAAUAAAACCUAUUUAUUAUAUAAUAUAA